UACGUAGGGUCCGAGCGUUGUCCGGAAUUACUGGGCGUAAAGAGCUCGUAGGUGGUUUGUCGCGUUGUCCGUGAAAACUCGCAGCUCAACUGUGGGCGUGCGGGCGAUACGGGCAGACUGGAGUACUGCAGGGGAGACUGGAAUUCCUGGUGUAGCGGUGGAAUGCGCAGAUAUCAGGAGGAACGCCGGUGGCGAAGGCGGGUCUCUGGGCAGUAACUGACGCUGAGGAGCGAAAGCGUGGGGAGCGAACAGG
rnacentral:rRNA from 1 species